rnacentral:rRNA from 1 species
GAUGAACGCUGGCGGCGUGCCUAAUACAUGCAAGUCGAGCGAACAGACGAGGAGCUUGCUCCUCUGACGUUAGCGGCGGACGGGUGAGUAACACGUGGAUAACCUACCUAUAAGACUGGGAUAACUUCGGGAAACCGGAGCUAAUACCGGAUAAUAUAUUGAACCGCAUGGUUCAAUAGUGAAAGACGGUUUUGCUGUCACUUAUAGAUGGAUCCGAGCCGAAUUAGCUAGUUGGUAAGGUAACGGCUUACCAAGGCAACGAUGCGUAGCCGACCUGAGAGGGUGAUCGGCCACACUGGAACUGAGACACGGUCCAGACUCCUACGGGAGGCAGCAGUAGGGAAUCUUCCGCAAUGGGCGAAAUCCUGACGGAGCAACGCCGCGUGAGUGAUGAAGGUCUUCGGAUCGUAAAACUCUGUUAUUAGGGAAGAACAAAUGUGUAAGUAACUAUGCACGUCUUGACGGCACCUAAUCAGAAAGCCACGGCUAACUACGUG